AGGGAAUCUUCCGCAAUGGACGAAAGUCUGACGGAGCAACGCCGCGUGAGUGAUGAAGGUUUUCGGAUCGUAAAGCCCUGUUGCCAGGGAAGAACGUCCUGUAGAGUAACUGCUACAGGAGUGACGGUACCUGAGAAGAAAGCCCCGGCUAACUACGUGCCGGCAGCCGCGGUAAUACGUAGGGGGCGAGCGUUGUCCGGAAUUAUUGGGCGUAAAGCGCGCGCAGGCGGCUGUUUAAGUCUGGUGUUUAAUCCUGGGGCUCAGCCCCGGGUCGCACUGGAAACUGGACAGCUUGAGUGCAGAAGAGGAGAGUGGAAUUCCACGUGUAGCGGUGAAAUGCGUAGAGAUGUGGAGGAACACCAGUGGCGAAGGCGACUCUCUGGGCUGUAACUGACGCUGAGGCGCGAAAGCGUGGGGAGCAAAC
rnacentral:rRNA from 1 species